AUUUCUGAGGAUGAAUGGAAUGAACCACUAGGACGAGGAACUGAGAUUAGGUUGCAUCUUAGCUGGGGAGUUUUGGAGGAAGAUAAACUUAAACUGAGCACUUGAAUUUUAUGUUGUAUGAUCUAAUUGGUAUCUGCGGAUGAUGUAACCAAGGAAGUGGAUGUUGAAGUUCCAGCAGACGAAGAUGACAGCGAAGCUGAAUCAUCUGAAAUGAGUUUCAUAGAGGGUAAAGAAGUAGAAGAAGAUGGUGAGAAAUAAAAACUGGACAAAUAGACUGG